GGAAGUAAAAGUCGUAACAAGGUUUCCGUAGGUGAACCUGCGGAAGGAUCAUUACUGAUUUAGCGAACCGAGCGUUAGCGAGGUUUUGCGAUCACUUAUAUUUAAACCCCACUCUUUGAACGUAUAAAAUUUUAUGUAUUAAUGAUAAAAAUAAAAGAUCACUUUCAACAACGGAUCUCUUGGCUCUCGCAUCGAUGAAGAACGUAGCGAAGUGCGAUAAGUAAUGUGAAUUGCAGUAUUCCGUGAAUCAUCGAAUCUUUGAACGCAUAUUGCACUUUCUGGUAUUCCGGAAAGUAUGCCUGUUUGAGGGUCAGUUAAAUAAAAAUCGGUGUUGUUGCUGCCUUUCGUGGUGACGCGUCGGAAUUGAGUCAUCUUACCUUCGGUUAAGUGACUUAAAAUUUUGUAUGAUUUUUGAACGUAUUUAAAUUUAUUUGUACGUUUGAGAUAUCGAAUGUUUAUUAGGUUCGGUCAUUCUAAUGACUCGCGCCUAUAGUUUUUCAUUAAAUGACCUCAAAUCAGGUAAGAAUACCCGCUGAACUUAAGCAUAUCAAUAAGCGGAGGA
rnacentral:rRNA from 1 species